CACCAGGUUGAUUCUGCCUGACGUAGAUGCUAGUCUCUAAGAUUAAGCCAUGCAUGUUUAUGUAAUAAGGACGAACAGCUCAGUAGAACUACGAUGAUUUAGUCUGUCUGAUAAAGAUAACUACGUGAAAAUGUAGCUAAGAGAGGACAGAAUAAGACGUAGGACUAUCAGUUAGUUGGUAGUGUAAUGGACUACCAAGACGAUGACGGGUAACGGGGAAUCAGGGUUUGAUACCGGAGAGGGAGCCUGAGAGAUAGCUCCCACGUCCAAGGACGGCAGCAGGCGCGAAAA
rnacentral:rRNA from 1 species